GCAUCUGACAUCAGCACUGCGAUUCCCACGUGGGAGGUGUUAGCUGACUGCCUCGUCGAGCUGUGAUAUCUCCAGAAGUAGCCUAGUGUGAGCCUUAGUAAAAAGCGCGGGAGAUGCGGCUGCCGAUAGCGAAGCUGGUGUUGGUGUUGGGGGUCGCCGGGGUCACCUGGGCCGGGAGCAAACCCUACAACUAUACUGUCCCUCGUUGUCCUGUAGACUGGUCUUCGAGUACUACUGAAAGACCUUCUCGACAAGUUACUAUUCCUUCAGGCUACUUACCCG